rnacentral:rRNA from 1 species
UACGUAGGGUGCGAGCGUUGUCCGGAAUUAUUGGGCGUAAAGGGCUCGUAGGCGGUUUGUCGCGUCGGGAGUGAAAACCUUGGGCUUAACUCAGGGCUUGCUUUCGAUACGGGCAGACUAGAGGUAUGCAGGGGAGAACGGAAUUCCUGGUGUAGCGGUGAAAUGCGCAGAUAUCAGGAGGAACACCGGUGGCGAAGGCGGGUCUCUGGGCCGAUAUUGACGCUGAGGAGCGAAAGCGUGGGGAGCGAACAGG